ACUGUAAAAGGGCAAACCGCGCGGAAACGGCGGGACGCAAAGCUACUGGACUAACGCGUGAAGCUAUGUUCGCAGGGCUGCCGCC
rnacentral:ncRNA from 1 species